rnacentral:rRNA from 1 species
AUUGAACGCCGGCGGCAUGCUUUACACAUGCAAGUCGAACGGCAGCGCGGGCUUCGGCCUGGCGGCGAGUGGCGAACGGGUGAGUAAUGCAUCGGAACGUGCCCAGUAGUGGGGGAUAGCCCGGCGAAAGCCGGAUUAAUACCGCAUACGACCUGAGGGUGAAAGCGGGGGACCGAAAGGCCUCGCGCUAUUGGAGCGGCCGAUGUCGGAUUAGCUAGUUGGUGGGGUAAAGGCUUACCAAGGCGACGAUCCGUAGCUGGUCUGAGAGGACGACCAGCCACACUGGGACUGAGACACGGCCCAGACUCCUACGGGAGGCAGCAGUGGGGAAUUUUGGACAAUGGGGGCAACCCUGAUCCAGCCAUGCCGCGUGCGGGAAGAGGGCCUUCGGGUUGUAAACCGCUUUUGUUCGGGAAGAAAUCCUCUGGGCUAAUACCCCGGGGGGAUGACGGUACCGGAAGAAUAAGCACCGGCUAACUACGUG